UCCAACCAUCUUCUUGCUUGCAAUUAGCUUGUACUUACUCACACUCUUUGGCUUUUCUUGUAGGGUUCUUGAUUGCUCCCUCGUGAUUUCAGGUUCGAGUUCAGAAACUUGCACAUAAUUGUAGUUCUCACUAGAAAUUGGAUGCACAAUGGGCGUCAACCAAGGGCACCCGAAUUUUUCGUUGAGAGUUUUCCCUAUCAGCAGGUUCCAGUUUCUUGCUUCGGUUGGGUCUUCCACUCCUAUCACAUUUCGGGUCUUCAAAGGUACGAUCUCCUGAAAUCUGCAAGCGAAACAUCUGAGUUGUGAUAUCCAUGCUACUUUCUCAUAUUAGUCAGAUAAAAAAUCAAGAAAAUAUGAACACCAUGUGUAAUGUUGAGUUCCAAGUUUAUAUAACAUACCCGAGAACAUACAUGUCUGCCGCGUCCUUAAGAUUCAACCACUCAUCCAAAUCUACUGCCAAGCUCCCUUUGGGAGACCUUCCAGCAACAUUCCAAGUUCCCACAAAGAUUCUAAAACAUACGAAAAUGGUUAUCAGACGAAGUACUAUAAGAUCAUACACUUUCUUGUUGCUUUCUUUCUUCCAUAAAUCGAUAAAUUACCUCAACUCACUAGUUGAAGUGCAUGGAUCCAUCUCCAUGGACUGAAAGAGAAUAUCAUCCAAGUAAUCCGUGCUUUCAUCUUCGCCCCCAUCUGGAGAAAAAUUCAGUAAACUUCAGUCCGGAUUGAACUUACUCUGUGGACAGAAGAAGAAUAAGAAUGCGAAUAAGAAAGAAGUCGGUAUCAGAUCCAUAGUUAGAAGAAACAAAACCUGAAACUUGACUCAGUUGAUAGGGUUCAGCUCCCUUAUGCUUUCUCUUGAACCACUUUCUAAACAUUCUUCUCCUCGACUUAGGUUUCUCUCCGUCCAUGCCUUACUCUCCGGUCUUUCGUAUGUCCAUACAUCAACUACAAAAUAGAUAGAGUACCAGAGGAUCGCCGUUGUGAAACUCCGUAAUACUCCUGCGCCUUGCUGAUCAGAUGGAAGGCUGUUCCCCUCCUACCAUGGCGGCCUCUAGCCGCAUUGCUCUGGACACAAAAACAAAACGCGGGUUUAGCUGUAAGAACAUCGUAUAGCCCGCCGUGUUCGGAAGCGAUUCAAAGCAUAGGAACAGACGAGCGCAAGAAGCUGAGAGAAAAUACGGAUCCGGCGGCAAACACAAGAGAGAAAACAUACCGUGCGUGUGAAGGCAGAGAUGGUUAAGAAUUAGGAUAAGUAGGGGAGGGUUAAAAGGACAAUGGCUCUUUCAUUUGGUUUGAUUAUUCGGGUUGGUUAGGUUGGUAGUUGUCACGUUCGUGUCGUGGUAUUUCUACAUGACAAGUAUAUAACAUGUCCAAGUCAAAUAAUUAAAAAGCCAGGUUAUAGGGUUAUCGCAUUGGGUACACCUACGAGGGGUCCAAAGUCCAAUCAACAAGCUAGAAUAUCUUUUUACAUAUCUGCCCCUAUAGGCUUCUUAGACUUCACUAAUGCUGCAUUAACUAACUAAAUGGAGUAUCUUCCAUUAAUUAAUCACAUAUUCAACUAUGUGUGGCUGGUUUGUUAGCUGUUGAUAUGAGUCUCACGACCUAUCAAUAACUUGUUGGACUAUAUGAGUAGGUCUGGAAAACGGGUCGUGUUUGUCGUGUUCGUGUUGUUUUCGUGUUACACUUACUAUCUUAACGGGUCCUAAACAGGUGACCCGAUAACGACCCAAUUCCUUUAUAGAUCGUGUUAUUUCAUGUUAGGUUAACAAGUUAUGCAAGAAAUUAUCAUGUUUAAUGUCUAGAUCUGACAAACGAUGUCUUAUUGGAUUCUUAACCGAUAACAACCUAACUCGUUAAUGAAUUGUGCGAGCAAUUGACAGGCAUAUAUGUGAGUGACUGUCAAUCGUCAAUGAAAGUGAAUUCAUGACUCACCAAUCGUGGAUGAGAGUGAGGCCGACGACUCACCAACCACUGAGCUCUUUUGGUUUAUAUGUGAUAAGUUGUUGUCCCAACUCCUAGUAAAGAUUAAUGGCCAAAAUAAAACUCCAAAAUGUAGAUCGUCUCACCAUCAGUCCAUGUGGGAGCAUGGAUAAUGGGGUCCAAAGUAGUAAUGACGCCAGUGACUUGUACGUUUGGAUUUAUUGUACAAGCACAUGAAGUAUAUGGCAUGCAAAAAUAGGUUAGGUGGUAUGAAUGAGUACGGUGAUCAGUAAAAAUAGGUUAGAUUCAGAGUUCGAAACUUUCAAUAUAACCAUAUAAAAACAAACGAAAGUUACAUUUUUCGUCAUUGGUGCAGGCUGGCCUAGAGUUCAAAUCUUAUGCACUUUGACCUUUUGUGGCCUCAAUGUACCUUGUAGAUUUGAACUGGCGGAUCGGAAUUAAUUUGAUCCACACUUAUCCUUUGGAAGCUGGAUUUUGACGUAUUUUAAUUAAAUUCUUCUUGUUUUCAUGGGUUUGAGACAUUCUAGCGGGAGAAGUGUAUGCGAUUAUAGUCUUUGCAGAUAGCUUUCUACCUCAAACUAUAAUGAGAUGCCUACUCCUCAACCUUCCUUCCUUGGGGACCAUUUGAUUCGUUUUCCAAUCUUUACGCGUAAAAUGACGAUCUUACCCUCCCAUUAUAGCACCCAUCUUCAUAGGAGUUGAAUACCUUUUCAAGUGUUUGGAAGUUUGUUUGGGUGGGAAAAAUAACCUUGUUAAUUCAUUUGUUAUUGUUGCUUGCUACCCAUAUAUCACGGGCUCGGGUUCGUAUCUAUAUUUCUUUUUACGUGAUUUUUUUUCAUGAGAAAAUGUUUUUAUUUGAUCUCUUACAUGAAAAAACAUUUUCAUCGCGUAAGAUAAAACGUAAAUACAAAAUAUACGUUGGAUACAUGCAAGUCUCUCUACAAGUUAUAAUAUAAUAAGAAAAUGAGAAAUUAAGUUCACAUCCUUCUUUUUGUUAUUCCAUUGAUUAAAAUCCUAUUCAUUUUUAAUUUUUUGAUCAAGGUCCUUGGGUAUUAAUAACAUCAUUAAUUAUUUGAUAAAUAAAACAUUUUUAUUUUUAAAAUAUAUUCCUUUAGUGUUAAAAAUGUUACAAUUAGUAUAUUUAUAUUUAUGGCUAAAUUUUUUAUCAUAUAUUUUUAUUUUUAAUUUGUACCUAUUUUUAAUUUGCAAAUAUUUUUCAAUUUGUACCAAUUUUCUUUUCAUUUUUAAUUUGUACCCAUAUAUUAGUUUCUUUUUGUGCCCAUAUUUUUUAAAGUUUUAUUUAUGUUUGUACCCAUGUGUAUACCGCCACGUGACAUUGUAUAUUUAAUCAAUGAUAGAAAAAUUACAUAUGGUAUAUUUAUGUUUUAUGCCUAAACUUUGUAUCAUAUAUUUAUAUUUUUAGUUUGUACCCACUUUUAAUUUGCAACAUUUUUCUAAAUUUGUAGUAUUUUCGUUUUAGUUUUAUUUUGUACCCAUGUAUUAAUUUCUUUUAGAUCCUAUAUUUUUAAAAAAUUCAUUUGUACUCAUAAUUUUUUUAAUCUUUUAUCUGUACCCUAAUUUAUUUAUAAUUUUCCCAUUCUUCUUUAUUAAUGUAGCACUUUGUUAUAUGUGAAAUGUACCAAUUUUUUUGUAAAAUGUACCAAUUUUUUAACACUAUGGAUACAUUCUUUUGCCAUUUAUUAUUUCUUAUUUUUACAUAGUUUUUAUCCAUUUAUUCAAUCAAAAUGUUUGAAUUUUUUUAUUGUAACUGUUUCGAAUAGUAUUAUAAUGAGCGAUUUUAAAUUUAUAAAAUUAUAAAUCUCAUAAAAUAUCAAAUAAUUAAUGUCAAAACUAUAAAAAUAUAAGUAUUAAUAGUAUAUAAUGAGGUGUACAAAGUUAAGGGACCUAGAUCAAACUUUGAAUACUAUUAAGAUUUUAAUCAAAUAAUGUUAAGGAUUAAGUACCGCAUCCAAAGUAUCCCAUAAGAAAAACACACAUAGUUUGAAUAUUUGGGCGUCAAACUGAACUUCAACCCCAAGUUUUGACAAUGUAUAUCAGACCCUAAACCGGUAAACCCCCCAUUUAAUACACAAACUAAAACAGACUACAGGUUUAUAAAUCAGAGUGCUGGUUUAUAAACCCUAAACCCUACAACCUUAAUUCCUUGAAUCGGAAACCAAAUGCUGCCGGAACAUAACGAUGAAGGCUUCCACUCUCUCAUUCAAAUCCUCCUUCGACAGCUUCCUAACCUCCUCCUCCUCCGUAUCGUCUUCAACCCGCUCUUGCUCGCUCUCGCCGCCACAGCUCGCCGAUCUCUUGCACACUUCAUCCUCACAUACCUUAACUCGUUCAACUAUUUGAGGAGCUGAUGGGCAUCGAUAUUCUCUUCUUUUUGCUCCUUCAUUUCUUUUGAAUCCUUCGGCAUUGUUUUCACAUUCGCGAUUUCGAUCAGUAUUCGAUGUCCUGGAAGAAAUGGAGGUGAAAACAACGGCUAGGAGGACGAGGUUGAGUAGAAGGAAAACCCACGCCCGCCAAUGCUCCAUGAGAAACACCAUUAAUAUAAAACGUUUCAAACAUGCCAUCAACACAGCUGCUCCUGCUGUGAACAAAACUGUGUUUACUCUCCCACCCUCUCUCAUCUUCUCCAUAUGAUAUCUGAGUAGAUUUUAUAUUAUAUAUUUUACCAUAUUCUUAGUAUAUUUUGGUUAAUAUUUUGGAAGAAUUUUGAUACUUUGAAUUGUAUUUUCAAUAUAGGACUUUCGACUUCCUCAUGAGCAAAACAGGACCAAAUGGACGAAUUUUGGAGUAAUUCUAGUUGGAGGACGUUCGUGAGUCACUUAGCUUGAUCGUAUCAAAAUUUGGGAUUUUUCCACCAAGUGGUUAUUUUCUGGCGAUAAAAUAAAGGAGUGAUGCGCGGUGCUGGAAAAUGACGUUUUUG
rnacentral:lncRNA from 1 species